rnacentral:rRNA from 1 species
AGCUCCAAUAGCGUAUACUAAUUUUGUUGCAGUUAAAAAGCUCGUAGUUGGAUUUCUUUUCUUUGUCGUUGGAAAGCUACUUCACGUAGUUUCUCUAGCAACAGGGGAAAACAUUUGUCGCAAACCGGUCGAGUGCUGUAAUGGUUCUCGGUCGUUAAGUGACUCGUUUACUUUGAGAAAAUUAGAGUGUUCAAAGCAGGCAUUCCGCCUUGAAUAUGUUAGCAUGGAAUAAUAACAUAGGACUGAUAGUUCUAUUUGUUGGUUGUUCGAGAACUGGAGUAAUGAUUGAUAGGGACGGUUGGGGGCAUCUGUAUUCUCAAGCGAGAGGUGAAAUUCUUGGACCUUGGGAAGACAAACAGCUGCGAAAGCGUUUGCCUAGGACGUUCUCU